rnacentral:lncRNA from 1 species
AUUUACAAACAUACAAUUCAUGGGGAGAUAAAGAUAUAGAUCAAAUCAACCCAAACUUAGAUUUAAGACAUGCAACAUUAAUAAAAAUUAGAUCCAAAAACACUUGAACCACUAGCCUCUCAUAUUACAAUCAAAACACUCUUGCCAAAUCCUGAGCAUACGGAUCUUGAAGAACACCAACGUUACAUGAAAUACGACAUUAUUGUCCAAUUGCCAGUAUCUACAGCCACUGGCUACUUGGUUACUGCAAAACAUGGCCAUCAACCACUUUUACCUCCAUGAACGGAAAUUCAAAAUCCAGAAUCUCAGCAACAUGCGAGAUACUCUCAUUCACAGGCUGGGUGAAAUAUAUACAUAUAUAUAUAGUAGUGAUCUUUUGAGAGAUGAAACCAUUUUAAUUCUGAAAUAGUUGAAAACUAAUUAAUCAAGAAACUGACAAGAGAAUCAUAUACAGUUAUCAACUGCAGAAACAAUCAGAAAAAGAACAUAAUAGUAACAUUUACACCCAAUGGUUCUUCUACCUGACAGCACAAGCCAAAAAUUAACUUAACAAAUACUACCUCCCAUCCAAAAUUAGAGAUAUUUUUGACUUAAUGAAGCAAAAUUUACAACAUAUUGACGUAUAAUUGUUAAAGGCUUAAAACAACAAAUAUAUUGAUUAGUAGAACUUCUUUAGAUAGUUUAAAAUGGUUAUAUUUGUUUAAACUCUAAACGAAUAAAUUCGUAUGUAUUAUGUAUUUUAAAUUUUAGAUUUUUGCAAAUCAACUACAAAAAGUCAAAAUGUAUCUUUAAAUUGAUGUAGUAAUGGAUUGUGAAUUAUAAUAAACUGUAAAUUUUCACCAGUUAGAUCUACAACUGAAUUCCUAGGGCAGAGAUUGUCCAUUAGUUUUGCACAUUACAAAGUGGUGUGCCUCCAACGAACUAAAUAUGGAGGAAGCUAACAACCUGAUAAUUUAAAUGUCAGGAAAUGACUUUUUAAAAAUAUAUAUUGAUUCUUUUCAUGCAUCAUACGUAUGUAAAUAUACAUAUUAUACAGGAAAGAAGUGGACAGAUACAAUGUGUAAUAAUUACUUAUAAGAAUAAGAACGCAAAAAAAAUUGUUACCUAGUAUUUAAGAUAGCAAAGUAAAGGAAUUUCAUUGUGAUCUUUUAGGCUUUAGCUAAAGCUUGUCUUUAUAACAAGGUCAAAAGAAGAGUAAACCAUCUUACUUUUUCCCCACUAAAUGCUGCACCUUGAAACUUAUACAUGAGACAGAGGCCCCCACUCACGAAAAUUUGUUCGAUUGCAAUACAAAACAUGUGAAAGGAUGCUUCAAAUCUUCCUUCUACCAUUUCGAGAUGCAGAAGAGUUUUAUCCCUUCACACCUUCAUCCAUCUGCGAAGGCCUAUCAGAUUCAUGUCUAACAGCAUUAAAAGUAGAACAUAAUUAACAACUUUUUGUUCCAGAAUAAAAUGUUAGUACCACAAGUUUAGAACAAUAGUUGCCUAGCCCCUUCAAAUUCAAACAGGAGCAAAAUAUAUGCUCACUAUCACACAAAGUGGCACUCGCAAAAUUAAGAAAGUUUCAAUUUGUUUCAAUUUAACAAAAUUUACGAACAUACAAAUUUAUUUUUUCCACUGUGCUUUUAGUUUAGGAGCUUUUAACAUGAUAAUGAAAUUAUAGUACUCCCUUCGUUCCUUUCCUUAAUAUAAGUCUGUUUUAGAGAAAUAUUUUUGUUCCUUAAUAUAAGACAGUUUUAGAAUUUCAAGUAAGCAUUAAUUGCUUAGUUUCCAAUAUUACCCCAAGUAUUAAAUAUAACUUUGGUUCUCUCACUAUUUUUUGUCUAAUAAAUAACAAUCUCUUCUUCCGAUACAAGGGCAAAAUAGACAAUUGAUAUUAUAGUUAAUGUUAUACAAUCAUUUCCUUAAUACUUGUGCACAACUCUAAAACGACCUAUAUUAAAGAACGGAGGGAGUAAUAAACUUGAAGAAGUCUGUCAUUUAAUUCUACGACUCAAAUCAAUUGCACUUUUUGAAAUAAACAAAGAGCAAAAAAAUUGGAACUUUUUGGGGAUGGGAUGAAUACAUAACAAUUAUGUAGAGACCAAAAUCUCUUUUUGCUAAACAGUUUUAUUGCUCUUGCAAUCUGCUAAAUGAUUAUCCAAUGAUGCCAAAAAAUAUCAAAGAAUCACAAUUUUACAAUGUUAACACAAAAUAGAUUUUAUAAUAAUAAAAUAGAAAUUUGAUUAGAUAAAAAUUAUCUUAUAUUACUGUGAGUGGUUAUCAAAAUUUGUCUUAAUAAUGCUUAAAAAAAUUAAAGGCAGUAUAUUAACAAUGCGUGUACCUUUUCCCUGAAUUAAGAGCCUUGGUUAUUCAUAUAUGUUGAUUUCUGAUUUUGUAGUUGUAACAAUGUUGAUUAUGUAGGAGGAGAAGGAAGGAAUGGACACCAAUCGCAACAGACAAGGAAAACCACACACCACACCACCAGAGGAGAGAACCUGGGUUAAAAAGCCCCGUGCUUUCUCCCCUCAAAACCAAAAUAUAUCGUUUAUUAUAUUAAAAUUUUGAUGACCUGCCAUGCAAGCGCACCUGUCAUGGCAAAGGCCGUAUCACAUCAUAACAGAAUCCCUUUUCCCCAAUUGUCUACCCAUAACAGAACCCCUUUUCCCCAACCCAAAAUACAAACCCUUACAAGCUAAAUCCAAUUUCGCAAGAUUCCAAGUUAUGAAAGAUUAGGGUUCGUCGAUUGUCUACCACCAGGAAACAUCACAACGCAGCGCCUGCGACGAAACAAUCCCAUCUUAUUCUGAAUUGAAACCUGCAGAAAAACUUCUGAUACCUUUCAUAGAUGACGAAACAACUAUAGAAAAUAUAACAAUAAACAAAAAAUCAAAGUAUACGGUAGCAAUCGAUAAACCUCUAGUACCAAAUUCCGUCGGUUUCAAAGCGCUGGUCUAAACGAUAAAGGAAAGGCAGGUACGUUGUACGGCAUAAUGUGUUUCUACCGGUAUAUAUAGGAUAGUUGGGGAGAGCGAACGG